rnacentral:rRNA from 1 species
UACGUAGGGGGCGAGCGUUGUCCGGAUUUAUUGGGCGUAAAGAGCUCGUAGGUGGUUCGAUAAGUCGGGUGUGAAAACUCUGGGCUUAACCCAGAGACGCCACCCGAUACUGUCGUGACUUGAGUCUGGUAGGGGAGUGUGGAAUUCCCGGUGUAGCGGUGAAAUGCGCAGAUAUCGGGAGGAACACCAGUGGCGAAGGCGGCACUCUGGGCCAGUACUGACACUGAGGAGCGAAAGCGUGGGUAGCGAACAGG